CUCUGUCUCCCAGGCAUUACAGGCACCAGUUGAAACAGCCACCCCGAUUUGUGUGAUUUUUGUGCGCCAAUCUGCAGCACCAGCCGUGCUGAAAGCUCAUGGUGCAUUUUGUCCUGAGAAUCUCCUGGUCUGUGGGCAGUGAAAAUUUAUUUGGAAAUGCAUUGAGCCCUCUUCCUCUGUGUUGUUCUUGCUGGGAACUGUACUCCGGAGCUGUUCCUAUUCAGCCAUCUUGGAUCCUCCCCUCUUGAUUCUUAACAUAAUAAAACUGCAGGUAGAAUUUUUAUUCAAUUUAACGUGAGAAAAUAUCUAUAUGUAUAUAUGAACUAUAUAGUAGUUCAUGUCGUAUAUAUGUAUAUUGUUCAUAUGUAUUUUUUUAGGAUUAUUAGUGUCACUGACUACUAUUACUGCAAAAAUGCUGAGUAACAAGCCAUUCCAAAGCUCAGGGCCACAGAACAAUAAACAGGAACUGGUCUCCGCCUCUCAGGUUUGUCUGGGGUUUGGGUGACUCAGGCUGGGCUGGGCUCAGCUUGGCUGUAAGACAAGGUUUCGGCUCAAGUGUGCACCAUGAGUCUUUCAUUUCUGUGAGAAUAUUUGGCUGCGUGGAGCACAUUUCCCUCUUGGCAGUGAGGGAAGCUCAGGAGAGGGCUACCCUGAAUAUCUAGGUUUUGAGUUGGUGCUGCCAUCCUACCCUUGGAAAUUAGCCAAGUCAUGUUACAUGGUCAUGACCAAAGUUAACGUGGCUGGGAAAUUUGGUGUACUUCUGUGGGAGAAGCUGCAUAACUCCAUGCUGAGUGGUGGAGAGGCAUAUGGGAACGAAAGGCUGAGAACAAUAGUGCUAUCCGCUUUGAUCACAGACUUAAAUUACUUGAGUUGUCUUCUGUAUUUCCCACUAACUUUCUGUGAGACUGUAUUAUGUCUGUGAUUAAAAAGAAGAAAAGUAUUAAUUCUGUUCAUAUUUUAAGAUAAGUCUAUUUUGAGAUUUUGAGGUCAUCGAGAUAACAUUUGAAGUUAGUCUUUGUGUGUGGUUCUUUUGAAAAUUCAAAAUGCCACAGAGAAUUAAACAUAAAUAAUAGCAUAAGAGAGCAGGCAUGCAUCUCUGCUUGCUCUUGCUCAUUCAGCUCCUAGGAAGGGUAAGAUCAUCUUUCAGGCUGCAGGUUUAUUAUUUUUAUGACACCCUCAUCUUUCACUGCUUCCUUCAAAUUCUUAGCUUGAGAAUUUAAGGUUAUUACAUGAUGAGAUUUUUGUGAUCAAAUGGGUGGUUUUAAAUGAAGCUUAUUGUUCAAUGAAUGGGCUUAACAAAGUACACUCUGUGUCGAACUCACAGGCACUAGGAUCACAGUGUAAAGUCUUCUUUUCUUUGUAUGGCUUCAGGAUGAUUUUAAUUACUAUUUCUGGAUGAGAAGAGAAAAUUAAUUAUCUUUUUAAAAAAUAUGAUGUUUAUCUUCAAGUUUUCUCUCUUUGUUAUUAUUCCAGUGUCGGGGAAAGAGCCCGAAAUUGAAUGUAAGCUAAUUGGAUGGCCCGAGCAUGGCAGGGGAGACAGGGAUGGCACUGACAUCAACCAGGGGCCUUUCAUGGCAAAUAACUUUGCUUCAUCCAGAGGCUGUAGGUGAGACACAAAGUUCAAGACUGCAACACAAAAAACUGACAGAGCCAACCCCACAUCUAGGGUGGAACAAGGCCAGGCUGGGACGUGGUGGGAUGUGGCUCAGGUGACUGAGCACACGCAUGCUGCUUGAUCCUCAGUAAGCUGAAGGUUUGAAAUUGCACCAGGAGAGUUGCUGGUUGUCUAUAGCGCAGCUGAGUACUUCAAGUGCAAUUGAGUUAUCACUUCCUAGAAACUUUUGAAAGUUAGGUCAUUGAAUAUUUUUGUUGGGUUAUUUUCAAAAUUAGAGAUCAUAAGUCCAUAUGACACAAACUCUGAGUUUCUCUCAUUUCACUGUCCGUUUCAUGGGAGGACCCAGACAAUUCUUUCCUUGAGCAUUUAGUUGGUGUGAGAAAGAAAAGCCCUUGGUGUUUUAAAAAACCACCUAGCAAAGCCUCGGGUUUACUGCUCUGAGGUCCACAAGCCACUGCACUUUAGUCACCACGGCUGGCUAAGUUCAGGAUAGCUGAUAUGACAGUAUCGGCACUGCAUCCUACAGUGAGCUUGCACUCCCGAGUUUUCCAUGCCCCGGACCACAUUUCAUCCCUAGGUGUUCUCCUUGAGUCAUCCUGUGUUCAUCAGUGAAAUAUCACAGGGUCUGAAAUUUGAACGAAUUAUAAUGUGAUUCCUAAUGAGGCCUGUUCUCUCAUCUGCAUGCAAACUAUUUUAUUUUAAAAUAAUUUAUGUUUUUAAAGAUGGUUCCCAAGCAUUAAAUAAGGUAAUUUAUGUAGCACUUCCUAGGAUUGGCUCAGUGUCUUCCUGUCAAUUUCACAUCUGAAGUGAGAGAGAAAGGUUGAGUGAUGAGCUGAGAGACUGUGGCCGAGUGACAAGGCAGGGUGGUGGUGAUGAGGUGAGGGAGUGUGGCCGAGUGACAGUGCAGGCUGGUGGCGAUGAGGUGAGGGACUGUGGCCGAGUGACAAGGCAGGGCGGUGGUGACGAGGUGAGGGAGUGUGGCCGAGUGACAGUGCAGGGCGGUGGUGAUGAGGUGAGGGAGUGUGGCCGAGUGACAGUGCAGGCUGGUGGUGACGAGGUGAGGGAAUGUGGCCAAGUGACAGUGCAGGGCGGUGGUGAUGAGGUGAGGGAGUGUGGCCGAGUGACAGUGCAGGGUGGUUGUGAUGAGGUCAGGGAGUGUGGCCGAGUGACAGUGCAGGGCGGUGGUGAUGAGGUGAGGGAGUGUGGCCGAGUGACAGUGUAGGCUGGUGGCGGUGAGGUGAGGGAGUGUAUCCGGGUGACACUGCAGGCUGGCGGUGGUGAGGUGAGGGAGUGUGGCCAGGUGACAGUACAGGCUGGUGGUGAUGAGGUGAGGGAGUGUGGCCGCGUGACAGUGCAGGCUGGUGGUGAUGAUGAGGUGAGGGAGUGUGGCCAGGUGACAGUACAGGCUGGUGGUGAUGAGGUGAGGGACUAUGGCCGAGUGACAGUGCAGGGUGGUGGUGAUGAGGUGAGGGAGUGUGGCCGGGUGACAGUGCAGGCUGGCGGUGGUGAUGAGGUGAUGGUGUGUGAUCGAGUGACAGUGCAGGGCGGUGGUGAGGUGAGGGAGUGUGGCCGGGUGACAGUGCAGGCUGGUGGUGGUGAGGUGAGGGAGUGUGGCCGGGUGAUAGUGCAGGCUGACGUUGGUGAUGAGGUGAGGGAUUGUGGCCGAGUGACAGUGCAGGGCGGUGGUGAUGAGGUGAGGGAGUGUGACCGAGUGACUGUGUAGGGUGCUGGUGAUGAGGUGAGGGAGUGUGGCCGGGUGACAAUGCAUGGCGGUGGUGGUGAUGUGAGGGAGUGUGGCCGAGUGACAGUGCAGGCUGGUGGUGAUGAGGUGAGGGAGUUUGGCCGAGUGACAGUGCAGGGCGGUGGUGAUGAGUUGAGGGAGUGUGGCCGGGUGACAGUGCAGGCUGGUGGUAGUGAGGUGAGGGAGUGUGGCCGGGUGACAGUGCAGGCUGGCGGUGGUGAUGAGGUGAUGGAGUGUGAUCGAGUGACAGUGCAGGGCGGUGGUCAUGAGGUGAGGGAGUUUGGCCGAGUGACAGUGCAGGCUGGUGGUGAUGAGGUGAGGGAGUGUGGCCGGGUGACAGUGCAGGCUGACGGUGAUGAGUUGAGGGUGUGGCCGGGUGACAGUGUAGGGCGGUAGUGGUGCCCUGGCUGACUCCUCACCACAGGCUUCUCAGCCCACUGAGCAUCCUGGCUGUAGCAGGCAGAGCGCAGUCCCAUGAAGACCAA